rnacentral:lncRNA from 13 species
GCCCCAGCCACCGUACCUGGCCCAUCCUUACUUUAAAUGAUGAACUGAAUUUCUCCCGUAGUUAGGUUGGCUUGUGCCUGGGAAUGAGCGAAGGCAGUUAGCUUGUGAGAUUAGAAGCAAGAUGGAGUCAGUUAUGUUACAUUCCUCUCAUUGUUAUAAUCUUGCAAAAGUUGUUUCACUCUUGGCCUCAAGCGAUCUUCCUGCCUUGGCCUCUCAAAGUGAUGAGGUUACAGGUGUGAGCCAGCAGGCCUGCCCACUGUCAAUUCUAGUGCAAAGAGCAAAUUGGGCUGGGGGCUGUGGCUCACGCCUGUAAUCCCAGCACUUUGGGAGGCUGAAGUGGGUGGAUCACUUGAGGUCAGGAGUUUGAGACCAGCCUGGACAACAUGGUGAAACCCUGUCUCUAAUAAAAUAUAAAAAUUUCCUGGGCAUGGUUGUGGGCGCCUGUAAUCCCAGCUACUUGGGAGGCUGAGGCAGGAGAAUCGCCUGAACCCGGGAGGCCGAGGUUGCAGUGAGCCAAGAUUCUACCACUGCACUCCAGCCUGGGUGACAGAGUGAGAGUCCUUUGGGGGGUUGCAGGGGCGGGGUGAGGGGUGGAGAAAUAAAGGUCCUGUGAAAUGAAAAUUCAGGCACCCACCCUCGUUGUGGGCCAAUCAACAAGUGCCAGAGGGAGGAGCCGCUGAGGGCAGGUGCUCCCCAUGCCCCACCUUCCUCUCUCUGGAGGCCUGCGGGGCAAGUGGCUGAGAAUCAGCCAGAGGGAGGAAGGUGAGGACAGGUGGGCCAGGCCUGGGAGGGUGCUGGGUGGGGGCGCUAAGGAGAGGAGGUGCGGUGCAGGUGUGGGGCUCUGGGUGAGAAUUCAGGGCGAGGAUGUGGGGGUGAGGCAGAGAGAGUUCUCCUUUGGGUGGCCGUGUGAGGACUGGGUGGUUGGAGAACUGGCUCUUCUGGACUUGCUGCUGGGCGGGACUCAUGCAGCCCUGGAGGGUGAGGUGGCGGGGGCGGCUCCGACUCAAAGAGGUUUGUCUGUGCACCAGUACCUUAGAAUGAGCAGUCUCCACGCCAUGAAGACCUUGUCCCUGGUCCUGCUGGUGGCCAUGCUGAGUGCAGAGAGAGCUCAGGAUCUGCGCUGCUACAGGUGCUGGACGGUCUCAGAAGGGGACUCCUGCAGACUGGCCUUGUGCCCCUUCCUGGACGUGGUCUGCGUCUCCCAGAAAGUGAACAUCUUUGGCAGUGAGUCCUAGGAUUCGGGGCAAGGGGCAGGCUCCAGGGAGGAAGGAGCACUUCUUAGAGACAUAGUGGUUUGGGGGAACCAAGGUCCCCCUACAAGUCCUCAGCACUUUGAGGGCUCCUGAGGUGGGAAGUAAAGGUGGGGUAGGCGUGGGAGGCAGGGUCUGAGCCCGGAAGGGUGGAAGAGGUGCAGGGCUGAGGAGCCUAAGGGCUUGGGGUGUGCAGGGACGGGGAUGCUCCGGGUUCUAGAGCAGGGGCACCCACAGAGCCCUCAUAACUGGGAAGCUAUCCCAGCCCCUCCUGGUGUGCAGCCAUGGAGCCCACGCCAACCUCCCAGCUCCUCCCCUUGCCGGCUGCUGCAGCUACUUCGGGGACCCCAGUGAACUCUGCCCCUGGUCCCCACUUCAUGCCAUGGGUCUCUCUAACUCUGUGAAGGACAGGGCAGGCUGUGAGCAUUCAGUGAGUCACUGCACCUGCCAGGAGAGCCUGGAGACAGCUAGCUCCAACCUAAAGGAAUGACUCUGGAAUGGUGGCCCAUCAGCCAGCGCUGGGAGGACUGGGGAGGGGCUACCACCCGCUGCACCCUCCACUCCCAGAGCGUGUCUGUCCCCAGGCCACACUCUUCAGUGAGGGGAGGCAGAAAAAGCCAGCCUGGAGUUGUUCCCCAAAAGCAGCACCCAGCUACACCCAGACCCCUCCACCUACCCAGCCCCCUCUACACCCACCCACCUCUCCCCAUAGACAGCCCCCUCCACACCCACCCUGCCCCCUCCACACCAACCCAGCCCCCUCCACACUCACCCCACCCCCUCUACAGCCCACCCAGUCCCCUCCACAGACCACCCAGCCCCCUCCACACCCAGUCAGCCCCCUCCACAGCCCACCCAGCCCUCCCACACCCACCCAG